rnacentral:lncRNA from 1 species
GUGAGCAAAGGAACACGACACAUAUAGAAAAGGCGGUGAUGUACAAGGGGAGGUGUAAAUAUGGUGGCAGUGCAUUCACAUACGAUUUUUCUACCGUGGAACCUUGUCGCACCGCAAUAUGUGACCUACGGCGCCGUUGGGUGAUAGUAAUAACGUGCUUAGACAAUGAGGACCUGAAGUGGACAAGGUGCAAAGCAGUGAGCCCAGUGAAACGGCGGUAUGGAAACCAUCCUCUAUGUUGCCCGGACUACAUGUGCCCAGAUAUGAAAGGUAAU